rnacentral:rRNA from 1 species
AUGGCUGCCGACGAGGACCGGCCGCUGAAGGCCGCACGCGCAGACGAGACGGAGGAGCACCGGCUGACGCCUGACCUGCCGGAAGACGUGCUCGCCGACGUCCUCCACCGCGUCCCGCCGCGCUGGCUCGCCGCCUCCCGCUGCGUCUGCAGGGCCUGGCGCGACGCGAUCGACGCCCACGGCCUCCUGCGUGCCGACCUGCUCCCGCUGUCGUUCGCCGGCCUCUUUGUUCACUUCAACGAGCACAAGUAUCCCGAGUUCUUCGCCCGCCCCUCCUCGGGAGAGGCUUCCCAUGCCGUCAGCGGCAACCUCAGCUUCCUGCCCUCCACCGCCCCUCAUGCCGGCACUAUAUGGGACAACUGCGAUGAUUGGCGCGACUACCGCGUCGAGGAUCACUGCAACGGGUUACUCCUGCUCAGUAAAAACUGUGUCGUUAACCCCGCCACCCGUCAGUGGGACGCUUUCCCACCGUGCCCGGCCCAAGAUUGUACUAGAUGGAACAUGCGGUACAGUCGGCAUUUGGUGUAUGAUCCGAUGAUAUCCACGCACUACGAGGUGUUUAUGAUCCCAUGUUUGCAUGAUAAGGGUCGUGGUGGGGGAGACAAGGCAGACCGCUCGAUGGAGGAAUCUGAAUGGCCACCAUCUCCAUGCAAGAUGUAUAUGUUCUCAUCAAGGAUUCUGAAAAAAAUAACAUUUUUAAAACAUGAAUGA